UAUAUUUUUAUAUAUUCAUAUGUAUUUAUAGAAAAAAAAUCCUUUGCAGUGUUAACUGAAUCUCUUAUCCCUUUUCCUCUGAGGUAUGUGCUGCACGGUGUAUCAGUGUAUUGAGGUUAGAUACAAACUCUGCUCAUGCUCUGAGGUGACCAAAAUCUGUAUGACCAGAGAAGUGUGCUGCAGCAUACUGGCGGUGAGCACCAGCUGAAGGCUUCUCUGGAUCCAUGCAUCCCACCUGGAGUUCAGGCACAGCUCACACGAUGACGUGAUGGGCAGAAGGGCUGUAGCUAUGAUUAAAGACUGCUUGCUAACCCAGUUCCUGUCUGCAGGAUUAGAUACAGCUCAGGAGAAAUAUGUUCCAAGUGACAGCAUCUUUGACAACCUGUACUUUUUGUUCUGCCUUUUGUUCUUCUUCCUAUGAAAAGCCAUGUGAUGAAGAUUGCUGGAGAACAUUGAUACCUUACCUACUUAUGAAAAAUAAAUAAAUAAAUAAAUAAAUAAAAAAGAAGUAA
rnacentral:lncRNA from 1 species